CGCGCAGGCGGUUCUUCAAGUCAGAGGUGAAAGCCCAGAGCUCAACUCUGGAAUGGCCUUUGAGACUAGAGGACUUGGGUACGGGAGAGGUGAGUGGAAUUCCGAGUGUAGAGGUGAAAUUCGUAGAUAUUCGGAAGAACACCAGUGGCGAAGGCGGCUCACUGGCCCGUUACCGACGCUCAGGCGCGACAGCGUGGGGAGCAAACAGGGUUAGAUACCCUGGUAGUCCACGCCGUAAACGAUGGAUGCUAGCCGUUGGUAAGCAUGCUUAUCAGUGGCGCAGCUAACGCCUUAAGCAUCCCGCCUGGGGAUACGGCCGCAAGGUUGAAA
rnacentral:rRNA from 1 species